rnacentral:rRNA from 1 species
GGCGAACGGGUGAGUAACACGUGGGUGAUCUGCCCUGCACUUCGGGAUAAGCCUGGGAAACUGGGUCUAAUACCGGAUAUGACCUCCUAUCGCAUGGUGGGUGGUGGAAAGAUUUAUCGGUGCAGGAUGGGCCCGCGGCCUAUCAGCUUGUUGGUGGGGUAAUGGCCUACCAAGGCGACGACGGGUAGCCGACCUGAGAGGGUGACCGGCCACACUGGGACUGAGACACGGCCCAGACUCCUACGGGAGGCAGCAGUGGGGAAUAUUGCACAAUGGGCGAAAGCCUGAUGCAGCGACGCCGCGUGAGGGAUGACGGCCUUCGGGUUGUAAACCUCUUUCAGCAGGGACGAAGCGCAAGUGACGGUACCUGCAGAAGAAGCACCGGCUAACUACGUGCCAGCAGCCGCGGUAAUACGUAGGGUGCAAGCGUUGUCCGGAAUUACUGGGCGUAAAGAGUUCGUAGGCGGUUUGUCGCGUCGUUUGUGAAAACCAGCAGCUCAACUGCUGGCUUGCAGGCGAUACGGGCAGACUUGAGUACUGCAGGGGAGACUGGAAUUCCUGGUGUAGCGGUGAAAUGCGCAGAUAUCAGGAGGAACACCGGUGGCGAAGGCGGGUCUCUGGGCAGUAACUGACGCUGAGGA